rnacentral:rRNA from 1 species
UUCCGUAGGGGUGACCUGCGGAGGGAUCAUUACCGAGUUUACAACUCCCAAACCCCUGUGAACAUACCAAUUGUUGCCUCGGCGGAUCAGCCCGCUCCCGGUAAAACGGGACGGCCCGCCAGAGGACCCCUAAACUCUGUUUCUAUAUGUAACUUCUGAGUAAAACCAUAAAUAAAUCAAAACUUUCAACAACGGAUCUCUUGGUUCUGGCAUCGAUGAAGAACGCAGCAAAAUGCGAUAAGUAAUGUGAAUUGCAGAAUUCAGUGAAUCAUCGAAUCUUUGAACGCACAUUGCGCCCGCCAGUAUUCUGGCGGGCAUGCCUGUUCGAGCGUCAUUUCAACCCUCAAGCCCUCGGGUUUGGUGUUGGGGAUCGGCGAGCCCUUGCGGCAAGCCGGCCCCGAAAUCUAGUGGCGGUCUCGCUGCAGCUUCCAUUGCGUAGUAGUAAAACCCUCGCAACUGGUACGCGGCGCGGCCAAGCCGUUAAACCCCCAACUUCUGAAUGUGACCUCGGAUCAGGCUGUCUAAUCGGUAG